GGAGGGUGCUAGCGUUGUUCGGAAUCACUGGGCGUAAAGGGCGCGUAGGCGGCGCAGCGUGUCGGCUUUGUGAAAGCCCGGGGCUCAACCCCGGAGGUGCGGCCGAAACUGCUGUGCUGGAGGCCGGAAGAGGAGGGUGGAAUACCCAGUGUAGAGGUGAAAUUCGUAGAUAUUGGGUGGAACACCGGUGGCGAAAGCGGCUCUCUGGUCCGGACCUGACGCUGAGGCGCGAAAGCGUGGGGAGCAAACAGGAUUAGAUACCCUGGUAGUCCACGCCCUAAACGAUGCGGGCUAGACGUCGGGGGGCAUGCCCCUCGGUGUCGCAGCGAACGCGUUAAGCCCGCCGCCUGGGGAGUACGGCCGCAAGGUUAAA
rnacentral:rRNA from 1 species